GGAGACGGAGACAGAAUUGGAGAUCGCAUCAUUGAUGAAUGAGUGGAAGCCUUGAGCGAUUGCUAGUGAUGAUCCAUUGUAUGUACUUCCUUUUGCUGAUUUAUAGAAGAACUGAUAACUUCCGUUUGAACCGUUAAAUUAUUGAUCCCACCGUUGAAUCUUUAGCUGAUAGUCCCACGAAGAUUUUGUCCGAAUUUUAGUCAGAUCGGAUAUUGCCUGAGGCUUCUACCGUCUUAUGAAGUUGCUGUGACAGAGUUUAUUUUUCUUCCUUUGGCUGAUUCGGAGAUGCAUUAAUAACUUUAUUCUGAACCGUUGAUUUCUAGAUCCCACCGUUGAAUCAUUAUCUAGUAGCGUCAAGAAUCACUCUGUAAAUUUAUAGCUAGAUCGGACGUCGUAUGUAUCUUCCAUGAUCCUCUGAAGUCGCUACGACAAAGUCGUUUUUUCUUGAUUUCUGCAGUUUGGAUGAUUCUGGGCCAACUUUGAAGGUGAUUUGCAGAUGGAGAUUAACACCAAUUGAGCAAGAUGAAUAACUUCUUGAUCUUGAGUCCGUUUGACGAACAGUCAGGUGUGGUGGACUAUCGGAUUGAUAGUGGUCACGUUGGAGCCUUUGUAUCGGGUUUUCGACCUUAUCUCCGGCGCCGGAGAGUUUCUCAACCUACCAUCUCCACUC